ACUAUCACAAAGGAGUGCCUCUGGCUGAGAUUGCAUCUGCAAAAUCCUCAAACCUGAUCUAGUUCGUACUAGCGUAGGGAUUGUGUCUGCUUGCUUU
rnacentral:ncRNA from 2 species